rnacentral:rRNA from 1 species
GUCGAGCGGACAGAUGGGAGCUUGCUCCCUGAUGUUAGCGGCGGACGGGUGAGUAACACGUGGGUAACCUGCCUGUAAGACUGGGAUAACUCCGGGAAACCGGGGCUAAUACCGGAUGGUUGUUUGAACCGCAUGGUUCAAACAUAAAAGGUGGCUUCGGCUACCACUUACAGAUGGACCCGCGGCGCAUUAGCUAGUUGGUGAGGUAACGGCUCACCAAGGCAACGAUGCGUAGCCGACCUGAGAGGGUGAUCGGCCACACUGGGACUGAGACACGGCCCAGACUCCUACGGGAGGCAGCAGUAGGGAAUCUUCCGCAAUGGACGAAAGUCUGACGGAGCAACGCCGCGUGAGUGAUGAAGGUUUUCGGAUCGUAAAGCUCUGUUGUUAGGGAAGAACAAGUACCGUUCGAAUAGGGCGGUACCUUGACGGUACCUAACCAGAAAGCCACGGCUAACUACGUGCCAGCAGCCGCGGUAAUACGUAGGUGGCAAGCGUUGUCCGGAAUUAUUGGGCGUAAAGGGCUCGCAGGCGGUUUCUUAAGUCUGAUGUGAAAGCCCCCGGCUCAACCGGGGAGGGUCAUUGGAAACUGGGGAACUUGAGUGCAGAAGAGGAGAGUGGAAUUCCACGUGUAGCGGUGAAAUGCGUAGAGAUGUGGAGGAACACCAGUGGCGAAGGCGACUCUCUGGUCUGUAACUGACGCUGAGGAGCGAAAGCGUGGGGAGCGAACAGGAUUAGAUACCCUGGUAGU